UACGUAGGGUGCGAGCGUUGUCCGGAAUUAUUGGGCGUAAAGGGCUCGUAGGCGGUUUGUCGCGUCGGGUGUGAAAACUCAGGGCUUAACCCUGAGCCUGCUUCCGAUACGGGCAGACUAGAGGUAUGCAGGGGAGAACGGAAUUCCUGGUGUAGCGGUGAAAUGCGCAGAUAUCAGGAGGAACACCGGUGGCGAAGGCGGGUCUGUGGGCCGAUACUGACGCUGAGGAGCGAAAGCGUGGGGAGCGAACAGG
rnacentral:rRNA from 1 species